rnacentral:pre_miRNA from 1 species
GGUAUUGAGGAGAGGUCGCCCGUGGCGCGUUCGCAUAAAUCUUGCCGCACAAUACACGGUCGACCUCUUUUCAGUACC